UGGGGAAUUUUCCGCAAUGGGCGCAAGCCUGACGGAGCAACGCCGCGUGAGGGAGGAAGGCCUGUGGGUUGUAAACUUCUUUUCUCUAGGAAGAAGUUCUGACGGUACUAGAGGAAUCAGCAUCGGCUAACUCCGUGCCAGCAGCCGCGGUAAGACGGAGGAUGCAAGCGUUAUCCGGAAUUAUUGGGCGUAAAGCGUCCGUAGGCGGUUAUACAAGUCUGCUGUUGAAGAGUGAAGCUUAACUUCAUAAAGGCGGUGGAAACUGCAUAACUAGAGUACGUUCGGGGCAGAGGGAAUUCCUGGUGUAGCGGUGAAAUGCGUAGAUAUCAGGAAGAACACCGGUGGCGAAAGCGCUCUGCUAGGCCGUAACUGACACUGAGGGACGAAAGCUAAGGGAGCGAAUGGGAUUAGAUACCCCCGUAGUCC
rnacentral:rRNA from 1 species